rnacentral:rRNA from 1 species
ACGCUGGCGGCAGGCCUACACAUGCAAGUCGAGCGGAAACGAAGAGGUGCUUGCACCUCUGGCGUCGAGCGGCGGACGGGUGAGUAAUGCUUGGGAAUAUGCCUUAUGGUGGGGGACAACAGUUGGAAACGACUGCUAAUACCGCAUGAUGUCUACGGACCAAAGUGGGGGACCUUCGGGCCUCACGCCAUAAGAUUAGCCCAAGUGGGAUUAGCUAGUUGGUGAGGUAAUGGCUCACCAAGGCGACGAUCCCUAGCUGGUUUGAGAGGAUGAUCACCCACACUGGGACUGAACACGGCCCAGACUCCUACGGGAGGCAGCAGUGGGGAAUAUUGCACAAUGGGCGCAAGCCUGAUGCAUCCAUGCCGUGUGUGUAAAGAAGGCCUUCGGGUUGUAAAGCACUUUCAGUAAGGAGGAAAGGUUAAGUGUUAAUAGCACUUAGCUGUGACGUUACUUACAGAA